rnacentral:siRNA from 1 species
GAUUGUUUAUCUUCUGGACGGUAC